rnacentral:rRNA from 1 species
AACGAACGCUGGCGGCAUGCCUAACACAUGCAAGUCGAACGAGACCUUCGGGUCUAGUGGCGCACGGGUGCGUAACGCGUGGGAAUCUGCCCUUGGGUUCGGAAUAACAGUUAGAAAUGACUGCUAAUACCGGAUAAUGUCUUCGGACCAAAGAUUUAUCGCCCAGGGAUGAGCCCGCGUAGGAUUAGCUAGUUGGUGAGGUAAAGGCUCACCAAGGCGACGAUCCUUAGCUGGUCUGAGAGGAUGAUCAGCCACACUGGGACUGAGACACGGCCCAGACUCCUACGGGAGGCAGCAGUGGGAAUAUUGGACAAUGGGCGAAAAGCCUGAUCCAGCAAUGCCGCGUGAGUGAUGAAGGCCUUA